UACGUAGGUGGCAAGCGUUGUCCGGAAUUAUUGGGCGUAAAGCGCGCGCAGGCGGUUUCUUAAGUCUGAUGUGAAAGCCCACGGCUCAACCGUGGAGGGUCAUUGGAAACUGGGGGACUUGAGUACAGAAGAGGAAAGCGGAAUUCCACGUGUAGCGGUGAAAUGCGUAGAGAUGUGGAGGAACACCAGUGGCGAAGGCGGCUCACUGGCCCGGUACUGACGCUGAGGUGCGAAAGCGUGGGGAGCAAACAGG
rnacentral:rRNA from 1 species